rnacentral:rRNA from 1 species
UACGAAGGUUGCGAGCGUUGUUCGGAAUCACUGGGCUUAAAGCGCAUGUAGGCGGCCCAUCAAGUGCCUUGUGAAAUCCCUCGGCUCAACCGGGGAAUUGCUUGGUAGACUGUUCGGGCUUGAGGCAGGUAGGGGCGCGUGGAACUCUUGGUGGAGCGGUGGAAUGCGUAGAUAUCAAGAGGAACGCAGGUGGCGAAAGCGGCGCGCUGGGCCUGUCCUGACGCUGAGAUGCGAAAGCCAGGGGAGCAAACGGG